rnacentral:lncRNA from 1 species
AAAAUAAAACUCAAUAAUAUGAUAAACAUGCAUAUAUUUCAUUCUAAAAAGUUUACUUAUUUUUUCAGUGAACAAAUGCGUAAUUUUAACUAAGGGUAUUUUAGUAAUUUUGAAUCUUCCAUUCCAAUCUAUUCUAAUUCGAAAAGAAAGUAAAUACAUUAAUAACAAUACAACUCAUUUUGAUUAUAAUUUAUGUAGUUCAGGUAAACAACUUUUUCUAAUUCACAUUCCUCAUUCCAAUUCCAAUAUAUUUCGAUUCCAACCUUAUUCCAAUUCUACUAAGCAAACACACCAUAAAUGUUAUCCACUGUGCCCAACAUAUAUUGCUGUCAAUAAACAACAUGAUGUAAUGUUUAAAUAUCUAUUAACUUAUCUUUUGUGAAAAAUUGGGAUUGAUUUCUGAAAUUUUAGUUUAGAGAAUUCAACCAAUGUCGUGUUAAAUAGAGAGAAUUUGAAAAAAGCCUCUUUUACAAAAGAACAAAAGGAUUCGAAGUUAGGUUUAGCCAUUUAAUUUUUAACAGUUGGCUUUUUAUGGUUCUUGGUUGGGUUGGGUUAUUUGGGUUUAUGAUAAUGAAUUCGAUCAAUAGUAGAUCUAUAAAAACGAUUUAAUGGAAGCUAAUUUACAUAAGAUAAGAUGUGAAAACUAAAAAUUUUAUGGGUUAAUAAGUUAUGGAGGUUAUUUUGAUAUAUUUAACGGGGGCUAAAUUAAAUAAUAGUAAAACCUCUCAUAUGGAUUACUAUAAGCUUUCGUUUUUUCAAUUAAAAUACGAGAUUUUAAAAUUCUUAGAAUUGAAGCUUAAAUUUUAUGGAUUUACGAGUUUAUGAGACUAUUUUUAUAAGUUUAAUAGAUACUACUUUAGUGGAUUUAAUAGGAACUAAUUAGUAACUUAAGUAUUAUUCUCUUUAUUUUAUUUUUUAUUUUUUUGAAAUUAUUUUAUCUAUCAGAGGCUUAAGUCUCUAUUAUCAUGAGGUUCAUUGCCUCUGAAUCCAAUGCAACUCCAUCAUUAAUCGGGUUGAAAAAUAUUGAGCCAAUCAACCUAUUAUAACUUAAUCAGUCCAUUUAAAUUUAAUUGGGUCCAGUGGAUUGGAUUAAGCUUUCGCACCCUUGGGACUGAUGGUUCUUGCAUGUGGAAAAUUGAAACAUUUUAGAAUACUCAUAUUGUUAUUGUGCCAACCUCCGAUCAUCAUGAAUUUUUUGUUUUCAGCAUUUCAUCUCCAACUUCGGGAAAAUAGCAAUGCACAAAGGACGUUGAGAAGAAUUGUUCAUCAAUAAUAAUAAUAAUAAUAAUUUGUAGACACACUUUUUUAAUAAUUUCUUAAUGGUUUCAUUAUUCAAUUUUCUGUUUCUUUAAAAUUGUUUAUCAUUUGUGAAAAGAAAAUGUGGGUUUAUUUAGAUAUAUACUUUUGCAUUUUAUAAUUUCACGGGUUUAUAUUUCAUACUAUUCCACUUCAUCUUUAGCCAAAUGUUUAGCCUUCCAAGUGCCAAACCCACCACCAUUGAAUGUAGCAAUUUAUUUUUCCCAUUUUUAUGUAUGGAAUUUCUGACAAAUAGGAUAAAAAAUAAAAAUAAAAUGUUUUUUCUUGAUUGAAUAUAGAAUUCAUGACUUUAGGACACAUAAGAUAAGGGUCACAUUACCUUCGUAAAUUGACUAUCUUCAUAUUAUUGUUCCUAUUUUUAAAAAUUCUAAUUUAUUUUAUAUUUUUGUUAAGAAGACUAAAAAAAUUCAUUAACCCAUUUCUAUUUUCUCCUUAUCUUUAAAAUAAAAUAAGAAUGACUGCAAGUUUUAAAAAUAAAAAAGAUAAUUUAUAGAUAAUUAAUUUAUGAGAGGAUUUACCCCCAUAAAAUAUGAUCCCAUUAAAUUCCACAAAGGACUUUAAAAUUCUAGCACUACCCGUCUCACCUUUGAUCGAUGAGAUGAGCGACAAGUAGGAGGGGCAAAAUCGUAAUAUGAAAAAUAAAGGAUUCCAGCAUAAUCUCUCCAUUAUGGAUGGCAAAAUACUCCACGGGUUUGCGCCCCAUGAAGUCCCACCCCAAAUGGGAAAAAUUUUAAAUAAUUUGUGAGGAAUGGAGUGGGGAGUGGGGAGUGGGAAGAAAAUAAUCUUCAAAUAUUUAAUGGGGGUACGGUUUAGUUUUGCACUCCUCACCUCAAUCC